AUGGCUCAGACGAACGCUGGCGGCGUGCUUAACACAUGCAAGUCGAACGCGAAAGGGACUUCGGUCCUGAGUAAAGUGGCGCACGGGUGAGUAACGCGUAGAUAACCUGUCUUUAUGUCUGGAAUAAUACGCCGAAAGGGGUACUAAUACCGGAUAUUUUUGCAUUGCAUAAGCAGUGUAAGCAAAGGUGGCCUCUGACAUAAGCUACUGCAUAAAGAGGGGUCUGCGUACCAUUAGCUAGUAGGUGGGGUAAAGGCCCACCUAGGCUACGAUGGUUAGCGGGUCUGAGAGGAUGAUCCGCCACACUGGCACUGGAACACGGGCCAGACUCCUACGGGAGGCAGCAGUGAGGAAUAUUGCGCAAUGGGGGCAACCCUGACGCAGCGACGCCGCGUGAGUAAAGGAAGGCCUUCGGGUCGUAAAGCUCUGUCAAAGGGAAAGAAGUGCAUGGUGGUUAAUACCUGCCAUGUUUGACGGUACCCUUAAAGGAAGCACCGGCUAACUCCGUGCCAGCAGCAGC
rnacentral:rRNA from 1 species